rnacentral:rRNA from 1 species
UAUGGCUUUACCACCCUGAAUGUGCCCAAUCUUAACUGAUCUGGGAAGCUGAGCAGGGUUUACCUGGUUAGUACUUGGAUGGGAGAAACUGGGGGAGCACCAACUCCAAGCCAGGU